rnacentral:rRNA from 1 species
GAUCCUGGCUCAGGAUGAACGCUGGCGGCGUGCCUAACACAUGCAAGUCGAGCGAAGCGAUCGAGAUGAAGUUUUCGGAUGGAUUCCUGAUUGACUGAGCGGCGGACGGGUGAGUAACGCGUGGGUAACCUGCCUCAUACAGGGGGAUAACAGUUAGAAAUGACUGCUAAUACCGCAUAAGCGCACAGUACCACAUGGUACGGUGUGAAAAACUCCGGUGGUAUGAGAUGGACCCG